GUGUUUGUCACGUUUCCGGAUGUGAAUGGAAACGGGACCCUGUCUCGUUUUGGACAACAGAUUAUCGCGAGCAUGAGGAACGGAUACGUUCGACUAAGACGAUCUGUUUGUGAUACUCGAUCGAACUAGCGAAUAAAAUUC